AAGAAGCAAGACCGUGAGGUGGAGCAAAACUCAAAAACUUGUCUCAGUUCGAAUUGUAGGCUGAAACUCGCCUACAUGAAGCUGGAGUUGCUAGUAAUCGCGAAUCAGCAUGUCGCGGUGAAUACGUUCCCGGGCCUUGUACACACCGCCCGUCACACCAUGAGAGUUGGAAGCACCCGAAGUCGAUGACCUAACCGCGAGGGAGGAGUCGCCGAAGGUGAAGCCAGUGACUGGGGUGAAGUCGUAACAAGGUAUC
rnacentral:rRNA from 1 species